rnacentral:lncRNA from 1 species
UGAAGUAAUAAUAGUUUCAAGGUCCUCAAUAAUGGCUUUUUAUAAUCAAUGAUGAUUAAUAAAUGAACAACAAUAAAUGUAAGCAAUAAAUCAAAGGAAAGACAAUGGAGAAUGUUCUUGUUCUUGUAUUGAAUCUCAUGUGUGCAAGAAAUAACAAGGGUCCCCUUUAUAUAGCAGGGGGAAUCCCAAUAUAGUACAUAUGCAUUUAUUAUAAAGAUUUGCAGCUAGUAAAACUAUUUAACUUCACGGUACAGAUUGGUACUAUUUUUGUAGACCUCGUCAAUAAUAAUCACGCGCCUUGGGAAUUUCCCGCUUAUCCAUGGUAGCCACCGACUUACACUACCCCGAGGUUGAGAUAGGGAACCCUCGGGGUCGAACCUCGAGUUAUGCCUCGGGCCUUCUGAAAACGGGCUAUUGAAUGUCAUAAUGAUCAAAAAUCAAACUCUCCAAUUUUAGCUGUAUAGACAAAGUCUAUCAAUUCGAACGAAGUCAAGAGAUACUAUAUUUAAAUUUCUUCAUUUGAUGUAACUGAACUACGCUUGACCAGAUUCUCAUUUAAGAAAGAAUACAUAGGCAGCCCUGUGGGCUCUGUCACAUCUUAAUAAAAUUCUCAUUUUCCCCACAACAAAAACUGUGGCAGAAUUGUAGGGAGUCCUAAAAUUUCCUGACCAAGUCCAGCUAACGUCAUCACAUGUAAGACAUUUAAAAAAUUGGUUAAGUAACUGGGGCAAAAUUUUGAGAAGGAUUCUCAAAAUUCCGGAGCAGGUCCGACAAACUUCAUUACAUGCAGAACGACUGAAGGAUCACUUAAUAAACUGGGGUAGAAUUUUGAGGAAGAUCCUCAAAAUUCUAACGCAAAGAAGUCGCAAUGUCUCUAAAAGUGUCACAGUCAUUAGUUCAUCUAAUUUACUUGAUAUUAUAGACCACUAUGUUUUCUAAGAUAACUCUAUUUCAUCAAAUAAGUGCAAUUUUUCGAAAACCUUAUUUCUAUGGCAGCCAGGUGUUGCCCAAGGUAACUCGAAUAGGAUCUCCAGAGCAAAGAAAAACAAAACAAGCAGACAAAGACAUGAACCAACCUCCCCUGCAAAACUCACGAUUUUUUUGGAUUCAGGAACAAGGAAUAACAAUAAGUACGUGCGCCUUAAAAUCAUUCCCUUUAUAACAACUGGACCGCCAAGUGCAAAUAUAUCUCCAGCUAAGAAAUAUUCUACUCCUAUUUGCUAUUUGCCCAUUGCAUGAGACUAAGCCCUAUCUCAAAUNNNNNNNNNNNNNNNNNNNNNNNNNCUUGCAUGAGGCUAAGCCAUGCCUCCCUAUUUGCAUAAGGCUAAGCAUUGCCUUCUCUUUGCAUGAGACUAAGCCUGUCUCAAAUCUUGCAUGAGACUAAGCCCUGCUUCCCUAUUUGCAUAAGGCUAAGGAUUGCCUUCUCUUUGCAUGAGACCAAGCUCUGUCUCAGUUCUUGCAUAAGGCUAAGCCCUGCCUCCCUAUUUGCAACAGGCUAAGCAUUGCCUUCUCUUUGCACGAGACUAAGCCAUGUCUCAAAUCUUGCAUGAGGCUAAUGCCUACCUCCCUAUUUGCAUAAGGCUAAACAUUUUUGUCACGCCCUAAACCUGGGGAGGCGUGGCUGGCACCUGGUGCGAGUGAACCAUUGUGUAACUCAUUUAUUCCUUUUGUAGCUAUCAUGGGCCGAUAUGGCCACAACUCAUAAUGUACAAUUGUAUGUGAUCAAAUGUUAUAUUAAUAAACCGUUGUUCUGAAAACAUGAAUACAUAUGGGUCGUCAAGGCCUCUGACACAAUGUACAAUCUGAAUCUCUGUCUAUAAAGCCUCAACGAUUAUUUGACCUCAAAUGAGGUAGAGUCUUACCGAUCCUUCGUUGAAUGCCAAUCUUGUCUACUAUGAGGGCUCCUCAACUGAUUAUCUAUACCCGCAGGCAUGAAUGCAACGUCCUCAACAAAAGGACGUCAGUACGAAUAAUGUACUGAGUAUGUAAGGCAUGUGAAUAAGUAUAUAAAGAAACAUAGAGUAAAUGAUUCAGCCGGUAAGUCUGGAUAGUUCUGUAAAUAGUGAAAUAAUUAUAGUGUCAUGAAUAUGCGUAUGAAUUUCAUGCCGUGCAUACACAUAUUUCAUAACAUCAUUAGGCCUCUAAGGGCAUUCUAUCAUAUCAUCUCGGCCACCGUGGGCAAAGUCAUCAAUGUAUACCAGGUGAUCAGGUGGUGGUGCGUAUAUAACACCGUAACCUUUUUUCAUAUCUCAUAUACAUAUAUAUACAUACAUAUAUAUGCGUAUAUAAUGCUGCCUGAGUCAUAUCUCAGCCACUAUGGGCAACAUCAUCAUCGUACACCAACUGAUCAGGUGGUGGUGUGUAUAUAAUGUCGUAACCUUUUCUCAUAUCCCAUAUACAUAUAUAUACACAUAUAUAUAUGCGUAUAUAACGUCGUCUGAGUCAUGGGUAAAUAUGUAUGUAUAAAUGUAUGAAAUGCAUAGGAAAUACGUUAAUAAAAUUUCUCGGUACGUCGUAAGACCAUUAUGGCUCUAGUUAAUAUCAUGAAAUAAUAUGACACAUGGGGAAUCAAGUUUAAGCUUUAGUAGUAUUUUCAUGGCUUGUAUUAAAGCAAGAUAAUCUUCUUUGAUGCUACCAUAUUUUUGUUAAGUAGUACUACUAUUUUAAAAGAUAGUAGUUCUACAACAAUUGUAUGACAAAAGACUCUGAAAGGUAUAGUACUGAUUGUUUUCAAUCUCCAUUUAGAACUUUACUUUUGUAUGAAGAGAUGUCUUUCCUUUUUGUUUAGCUUUAAUUAUUUUUAAUAUUUGUGAUAAUUAAACUAGUUAAUUCCUUAUCUAUAAUCAUAAAGUAGGUACUUAUAACCACUUCUACUACUCUAUGUCCUUGUCUAGCUGUGGGUUGGACUACAUUUGUAAAUAGUGAAUUUUUUACCAGGACCCAAUAUCUUUAGAAAAAAAAUCAAGUAGACCUUAAUAACAAGUAUUUCAGUGCUAAUCUGUUAAUAAUAGAAGUUGUGCAUUUGCUUGUUUCGUUCGUGUCGUAUAUAUUAUGUCAAAAAGAAAGAAGAGAUAACAUUAACAUACCUAAGAUUGGAUAUUACACCAAGAUCAACUUUAGAUGCAGAUUGCAAUACACAUCAAACUUCUCAUAGUGAAGUUGUGACAAACUACCAUAGAUGUGUGGUUUUUUAGUUUAUUGAACUCAGUCAAACUAGUUGGGGUGGGAUGCAUAGCUAAUUAAACUAGUUGGGGUGGGAUGCAUAAAUCUCAUAAAAAACUAAUCUUGCAGCUUCCAUAUUGUCAAUAGCAGUGUACACAGCUAUUAAAGUAUUACCCACAAAAAUAAUAAUCAAGAACCCCAAUUUCAAGAUUUGACCAUGUACCAACUCCCCAAGAUAACAACUUUUCAUUCCGGCACAAGCUAUUAAGACACUAGUCACGCAUACCCGUGCUAAAGCACGGGCCCAACAACACCAAAUUUGGUAUCUCUAUUAUAUUAGAAAUUCUAGCAUAUUUCUUGUACAUAUAUACAUAUACAUAAUAUGAAGGUAUAUUGAAGAAUACUAAGAUUAAAAGUUAGUACUUAUAUAUAUGACUAUACAAAGUUCCCGAUUGUUUCAAUUCAAAUAGUUGACCUGGGCUGCUGUUAGUGCGAACAAUUUUCUUUUCGUCCUUAGCUACGUAUAAUAUUAGCAUAAAUGAAUCCAGUUCAAGUCACCCUGAUCAACCCAAAAAACUUUUGAAUAUCCUUUUUUUUAAAAGUGUUUUUUUGGAGUAGUAACGUAGUUCAAGCUUCUCUUUGAAUUUUCUUUUUACCAUGUUGCUCUCGCCUGCUUCAUGUAAUUACACACUGCAACCAAGAAGAGGAAAAAGAGCAAAGAGAUUUAUCAUGUAUUUAUUUUUUUAGAAUAUGUAUUUGAAAAGCUUUGACGGGUGCGUGUAAGGUUGGUCCUACUUGAGAGCUGUACAUAGAAAACUAAGAGGAGCCUCCGAGAUCUUCAGAUUCAUGCUUGCAUAUACUUGUUCCCUAUAUAUUUCCAUAUAUUGAUUUGCUCCCAAAAAGUUUUGCAAUCCAACAACUCUAGUAACAAAUUAUUGAUCCAAAAUGCAAUAAAAACUAUAAAGAUCCUAAGCCUUCAUUCCAAUAAGAAUAUGUGGAAGCUCUCUAAAAGAAGUGCCGAUACAAAAGCACUUUAAAACAAAUUAAAAGAAUUAGAAAACAGAGAAAUCAGUUCGUGCUGAAAUUACCUUUUCAAUUAGUAGAUGGCCCAUUGUAAUAUAGCAGUCUCAACUAACAGAGAAAUCAGUUCGUACUACACCAUUUAGUGCAAUCCAUCACCGAGAAAUACAACUUGAAGAGUUUAGACAUUUUUUCCAUCUAUUGGCAUUGAUACACCUUAUUUUUCAAAAUUCCUUUGUGCGCCUAGCUAACUGAUGUUAAGAUCCAAUUGAAAAGAAAAAAAAAACUAAAGAGAAGUAGAAAGAACAAUAGCAGUGAGAACCGAUGGAUAAGUCUUCUAUGGCUUUAGCCUACAU